CACCAAGUUACUCAUAUUUUACCGACUGCAAUAAAAGAAGAGAAUUUUCUUGACAGGCCUUCCUACAAACCCUAACACCAGCAAACCAAAGGAAACGCAUCCUCCAUAGAUUCAGACAUGAGCCAGUGUGUCCCAACCUACAGGGAGGAUCUCCACGACAACACCUUCAAUAUCUCCACCUCAUUCAAUGGCUAUGAAGUUGCCGAGCUGACGUGGCAAAACGGACAGUUGGCCUUGCACGGUUUGGCUGACAAGCCACGCGCCGCCGCCGUCGCCGGCACGCUGGAGUCCGUCAUUAACCAAUCCUCCUUCGGUUUCGACCCUAAUAAGGUCGCCGGUGUCGCCGAUCUCGCGCCUUGGUUCGACCACCACGCGCCAGGCGGCGGCGGUGGCGCUCACGCGGCAACGGACGCUCUCGUACCUGUCCGCGAACUACACGCGCCGGAACGCGUCCCUGAGAUCGGCGCGUGCGACGCUGGGGAAUCCACGCGCGUUGGUUCCUGCAGCGGCGCCACCGUCCCCGGCGGCGCGGCAGUUUAUCGCUUCGACAACACCACGAGUGGGAGCGCGAGCGUCGCCGAGCGCGGCCGCCGGUCUUCGGCGGCGGCGGCGACGUUUGAUACUCGCGAGGACGAUUCCUGCGGUGGAGGAUCCACCUCCGCCGCCAUGUGGUCGCCGGAGACCACCAAUUCCGGCGAGGAGAAUGGCAAGACGGCGUCGGUGGAGGAUCCUGAUUCCUGGGAAGUCCUGGGAUCUAAACACUCGGAUCAAUCGUACUCGAAUAUGAACGGUCCGGAUUCGUUAAGAGUGAGAGUCCCGGACCUCAAAUAUAGUCGGAGGAAACCCAUAAGAAGGAAUAAAGUAGCCGCAGUCCAUAGCCAAUCAGAAAGAAAAAGAAGAGACAGAAUUAACCAAAGAAUGAAGACGUUACAGAAAAUGGUACCAAAUUCGACCAAGGUGAGACGGUCAUUCUGCAUCCGACAUGAUAUCAGAGCCUAGGCUAGGUCUUGAGUUCGAGUCCUGCUCGUCCCUAUUUGCACAUAUGCAUGUGCAAGUUUCGUAGACCCCAUUUGUACCCGAAGGUCUUCCAAUUUUGAAAUUUUUUCUAUAGUUUCUAGCCAUUUCUUUUUUUUAUUUUGAUUUUAUCUUGAGUCCUCAUUUUGUCUACGAUGUCAUGUUUCUGAUUGCAACGAGAGUCUCGUUAUUUCCGACCUUGUGGAGAGUACUCCCGUCGUUUUCGACUCCAGUAGAGAGUCCUGGCAUUUUCGGCUCCGGUGGAGUCAUCUAGUUUUCGGCUCUGGUGGAGUCAUGUCGUUUUUUGCUCCGGUGGAGUCAUCUCGUUUUCGGCCAUCUCGUUGUCGGCUUCGGUGGAGUUAUGUGAUUUUCGGCUCCGAUGGAGUUAUGUGGUUUUCGGCUCCAGUGGAAUCAUGUCGUUUUCGACGGCUCCAGUGGAGUCAUCUCGUUUUCGGCUCCGGUGGAGAGUAUCUUAUUUUCGACCCCGGUGGAGAGUCAUCUCGUUUUUUGCUCUGAUGGACAAAGUUUCAAUGCUGGAUGAAAUUAUAGAAUACAUAAAAGAGUUACAAACACACCUUCAAAUAACACAGUUAUAUAUGUCUCAAA